rnacentral:rRNA from 1 species
CGGCGUGCUUAACACAUGCAAGUCGAACGGAGCUUCCUGGAUUGAGACUUCGGUCAAAUGAACGGAAGCUUAGUGGCGGACUGGUGAGUAACGCGUGAGGAACCUGCCCUUCAGAGGGGGACAACAGUUGGAAACGACUGCUAAUACCGCAUAACAUACCGAGAUGGCAUCAUCAUGGUAUCAAAGGAGCAAUCCGCUGAAGGAUGGCCUCGCGUCUGAUUAGAUAGUUGGUGAGGUAACGGCUCACCAAGUCAACGAUCAGUAGCCGGACUGAGAGGUUGAACGGCCACAUUGGGACUGAGACACGGCCCAAACUCCUACGGGAGGCAGCAGUGGGGAAUCUUCCGCAAUGGGCGCAAGCCUGACGGAGCAACGCCGCGUGAGUGAAGAAGGUUUUCGGAUCGUAAAGCUCUGUUGAGAGGGACGAGAGACAUAAUCAGGAAAUGGGUUAUGGAGGACGGUACCUUUCGAGGAAGCCACGGCUAACUACGUG